rnacentral:rRNA from 1 species
GAUGAACGCUGGCGGCAUGCCUAACACAUGCAAGUCGAUCGGUAAGGCUCUUCGGAGUACCCGAGAGGCGGACGGCUGAGUAACGCGUAGGAACACACCCUGCAGUGAGGGAUAAGACACCGAAAGGUGUUCUAAUACCGCAUACGGUCUUCGGAUUAAAGCAUUUAUGCGCUGAAGGAGUGGCCUGCGUCAUAUUAGAUAGUUGGUGAGGUAAUGGCUCACCAAGUCGAUGAUGUGUAGCUGGUCUGAGAGGAUGAUCAGCCAGACUGGAACUGAGACACGGUCCAGACUCCUACGGGGGGCAGCAGUGAGGAAUAUUUCACAAUGAGCGAAAGCUUGAUGGAGCAAUGCCGCGUGCAGGAUGAAGGCCCUCGGGUUGUAAACUGCUUUUAUAAGAGAAGAUUAUGACGGUAACUUAUGAAUAAGGGACGGCUAACUACGUG